UACGAAGGGGGCUAGCGUUGCUCGGAAUUACUGGGCGUAAAGCGCACGUAGGCGGCUUUCUAAGUCGGGGGUGAAAUCCUGGAGCUCAACUCCAGAACUGCCUUCGAUACUGGAAAGCUCGAGUCCGGGAGAGGUGAGUGGAACUGCGAGUGUGGAGGUGAAAUUCGUAGAUAUUCGCAAGAACACCAGUGGCGAAGGCGGCUCACUGGCCCGGUACUGACGCUGAGGUGCGAAAGCGUGGGGAGCAAACAGG
rnacentral:rRNA from 1 species